rnacentral:piRNA from 1 species
UCUCUGAUUCACCCAGGGAGGGUUGGCCAGU